AUAAAUUAAAGAGCUGCGGUAUAUUGACUGUACAAAGGUAGCAUAAUCAUUAGUUUUUUAAAUGAAAACUUGUAUGAAAGGUUUGACAAAACAAGUUCUGUCUCUAUUUUUUAAUUAAAAUUUAACUUUUAAGUGAAAAGGCUUAAAUAAAUCAAAGGGACGAUAAGACCCUAGAAGCAAUUGGUUGGGGCGACAUAUAAAUAAUUUAUAACUUUAUAUAUUUAAAACAUUUAUAUAUGAAUUGAUCUUUAAUAAAAAUUUUAAGCUAAGUUACUUUAGGGAUAACAGCGUUAUUUUUUCUGAUAGUUCAUAUCGAAGAAAAAGAUUGCGACCUCGAUGUUGAAUUAAAAAUUCUGUUUGGUGCAUCAGCUGAACAAGAAGGUCUGUUCGACCUUUAAAUUUUU
rnacentral:rRNA from 1 species